GGCUCAUUGGUGUAGGGGUAUGAUUCUCGCUUUGGGUGUGAGAGGUCUUGGGUUCAAAUCCUUAACGAGCCC
rfam:Danio rerio chromosome 4, GRCz11 reference primary assembly.